GAUGAACGCUGGCGGCAGGCCUAACACAUGCAAGUCGAGGGGCAGCACAUAAAGUGGUUUACUACUUUUGGUGGCGACCGGCGGACGGGUGCGUAACGCGUAUGCAACCUGCCUCCAACAGGGGGAUAACGGAGAGAAAUUUCCACUAAUACCCCAUAAUAUCAGAAUCGGCAUCGGUUUUGGUUGAAAACUCCGGUGGUUGGAGAUGGGCAUGCGUUGUAUUAGAUAGUUGGUGAGGUAACGGCUCACCAAGUCAACGAUACAUAGGGGGAAUGAGAGGGUAGCCCCCCACACUGGUACUGAGACACGGACCAGACUCCUACGGGAGGCAGCAGUGAGGAAUAUUGGUCAAUGGGGGCAACCCUGAACCAGCCAUGCCGCGUGCAGGAAGACGGCUCUAUGAGUUGUAAACUGCUUUUACAAGGGGAUAAAUCGGUGUACGUGUACACCGUUGAAGGUACCUUGGGAAUAAGGAUCGGCUAACUCCGUGCCAGCCGCCGCCGUAA
rnacentral:rRNA from 1 species